UACGAAGGGGGCUAGCGUUGUUCGGAAUCACUGGGCGUAAAGCGCACGCAGGCGGAUCGAUAAGUCGGGGGUGAAAGCCCAGGGCUCAACCUCGGAAUUGCCUUCGAUACUGUUGGUCUCGAGGCCGGGAGAGGUGAGUGGAAUUCCUAGUGUAGAGGUGAAAUUCGUAGAUAUUAGGAAGAACACCAGUGGCGAAGGCGGCUCACUGGCCCGGUACUGACGAUCAGGUGCGAAAGCGUGGGGAGCAAACAGG
rnacentral:rRNA from 1 species